AUUGAACGCUGGCGGCAGGCCUAACACAUGCAAGUCGAGCGCGCGGCGGACGGGUUAGUACUGUAUGGGGCCUGCCCGAUAUAGGGGGAUAACUACUGGAAACGGUAUCUAAUCCCUCAUACUAUCGGCUACCCCAUAUGGGAUUAGCUCGUGGGUGGGGUAAUGGCUCACCUAGACGACGAUCCCUAGCUGGUCUGAGAGGAUGAUCAGCCACACUGGGACUGAGACACGGCCCAGACUCCUACGGAGGCAGCAGUGGGGAAUAUUGCACAAUGGGCGCAAGCCUGAUGCAGCCAUGCCGCGUGCAUGAAGAAGGCCCUAGGGUUGUAAAGUACUUUCAGUCGGGAGGCGUUACCGACAGAAGAAGCACCGGCUAACUCCGUGCCAGCAGCCGCGGUAAUAC
rnacentral:rRNA from 1 species